rnacentral:tRNA from 1 species
UCCGGCAUAGCUCAGUUGGUAGAGCGGGUGACUGUUAAUCACUAGGUCGGCGGUUCGAGCCCGUCUGCCGGAGCCA